UCGCCGACGGCGAGCCGGGCGCCGGGGGCGAGCCCACGAGCUGCCCGCCCCGGGAGCAGCCGUACGAGGCGGGCGGCAGGAAGGGCGCGGCGGCGGCGGCGGCGGCGGCGCCGGGCGGGCCCUGCAGAGCAGGGUCGCGCUGGAAAUUGCCGGUUUAAAGUCUGACGGGACAACAGGCGUCCAAAGCAAGCAGUUUACAGAGAAAUCACAGCUAGAAAGAACAUUUAAAGGACAAGACACAGAGAGCUCUGGGAGACGUUUGCCUUGCAGAAACACACAGGGGAGCUGGCGAGAGAUGACGAAACACAAAACUGAAAUCAGUUUCAAGAGUGAUCAGUGAAAUUGGGAAUAAGUUCUUCAUCCUCAGAGGCAAGACGGAAAAAUUAUCUUUUCUCUUGAAGUACUCCAGUGUCUCCACCCUCAAGAACAAUAAGGAAUUGACUAAGAGCAGCUCAAAUUAAAUUUAAGAUCUAGUACCCCUCCCUUCCUUAGAGCCAAGCAUUUCUCUCCCUAUUCCUCCCUAUUAAUAUGCUAUAAGAACAUCUCUUUUUUUUCACUCAACCCCUGAUUUGUCCUGCAAAUGGCUAACAGAGAAUAUCUGAUGGUGUGCAAUAGAUGUUUCACUGCCGUGAAUUUGGGAGGGGAGUUCUGUGUAUGCGUACACAGGUUAAAGUAAUUUUUAUCCCUUCCCUAAAGAGAAUGGUGUAUAUUCCUCCCUCUCUGUAUCUACUCAUGUACUGGACUGAAGUCCUGGCAAUCUAAUUUUGUCAGCUCUCCUUAUGAUAAGAUCAGAGGUUUUCAAACCUUUCCUUGAUUUUUCAGACUCUACCACGUUUCCUGGGGAGGUGUCCUCAUCCCACCACGUUCAGGCUACCAACAACAGGCUUGGCUUGGUUUUGAGUUCACAGUCUCUGUUAAACUCUGCAGGCUGCAAGCUGAGGGUUAACACUUUGGAUUAUUUAUAUUAAUAUUUUAUCGGUGCAAUUCUAUGCUGCUGAGUGUUAUGGAGCCACAAAACAAGGAAUAAAUCAUCGCUCAUCACAAGCUGUAGAUGCUGCAGCACUUCGGGCUGCUGGGAGCAAAUCCUGGCUGAAAGGAGUAGUGUCUGCUCUGUGUCCACUUCUCCCUGGUUUUUAUGGCUGCUGUGCUCUCACAAGUGUUUCUGUGGCUGACUGGGGCGCUAAUCCGGUUUGAGAGGAACACUCUCUUCCCAAUCCUUUUCUUUCCCCCUUUUUCUUAUCCCCUCAGGUUAGCUUUAGCCUGCGCCUGCCUAGCCCCUUCCUGAGAGCUUGUUAGAGACUGAUUAGCUGAGGUUUUGAUAAAAGCUUCAUUGUUUGUAACCCCUGUAAAGUACCCAGAGCUGUGCUCCCAAUAAAAGUGGGAUUAAAUAGACACCUCUGGAGUGAGACAGUUGCAAGUGGGAAUUUCAGAGUUUUGAGGGACUGGGGGAUGUGGCCAGGCUUCAGUAACUCUGUGCAUCAGAAGUGAUUUUACCAAAACUGGGAAAGAAGCCUGACUUUUGUGUUUUGGGGGGAAAAGGAGCCUGGUGGGAGACAGAAGGAAGUCACCUGUUUGUGGCUGGAUUAAGCACACGCUCCAGGGGUUUGGAAACAUGUUUGCAGAAGUUCUCAGCGCCCUGCAUUCCUCCAUCCUCUUCUCAGGCUUAAGAUUCAUAAAAAGUAUUUUAGAAUCCUCGCUCUGAUUACACGAAUUUAAUCCUUCCUCAUUUUAUUUUUGCAACAGUAAAAAAGUCCACUUGGCAAUGGCGUGGCCUGACUUGGUGCUAUGGGGUUGUCUCUUUUCUGGGAGGAAUGUUAAGCAAGGGGCUUCUUCCCUCCUGCCUAGAGCAAGAAAUUGACCUGGGCUGAAAUAAACAUCUCUGUGCUUUUUAAAUGUUUUUUUUUUUUUUUUUGUGUGUAAUGGGAUAUUUGAAAUAGAGCUUGGUGCUCUGGGCUGGUUAUUCUAUGGUGAUCACUCCUAUAGGGUAAGGUAAAGGGCAAAAUCUUUUGGUCCUAAUUCAUCUGAAUCAGCCACCUCCACUCUGGAAUGAGUAAUAGAAACAGAAAAAAACAUAAAUUUAGGGUCAGCUAAGGUAAAAAUAAUCAAAAGUAUUAGUAGAUAAAGGCAGUGGCUGCCAUCACCACCACCACAAGGAAUUGGGGGAGUAGUAAAUUAGUAUUUCUUUUCCACGUUUGUCUGGGGCAGAAAAAACCAGAUAGUGUGUUAGUUUCAGUUGCUGGCAAAAGAGCAUUUAUAACUAGGGAUUAUGUUAAAUAGCAGCCACAUAAAUGAAAUAUUUUAUGAUCAGCCAGUCCUGGUAAUUCACAGCCAAGGAUUUCAGAACUCUCUGAACCAGAAGCAUAUUGUGUGGGGUGGCUUUUUGUUUUGGGACACUGGGAGGGUUUUAGAGCACUAAGAAAGCUGAUAUUGGCUCAUUAUUUAAAAGCUUUGGGCUAAUGAUUUAGUGAUGCUCAGACUUUCAGCCCUUCACUGUUAAAGGGAAGAAAUGUGUGUGUGUUUCCCUUAAUUAAUGAUUAAUUUCCUUAUUAAAGGAAGGCAAUGAAACUGAUGCCAACAAGUGUGUGUAGAUAGAAAGUAGACAUUGUCAAAUUAAUUUGCUGUUCUCUAGCAAGAGGGAGCAACUCUUGAUGUAACUGAUUUCUGAAAGUGUUUGAUUAAUUCUGUCUUGGGGGUGGGUUUUACAAACUGAUAUAAAAUCACUGUAGUGCAAAUUAAGUGUUUCCAACUAGUAAAACCAAGAUCUCAGAGUUUCACUGUGAAAAAUGAAUCCCUGAGUCUCUGCUCAGGGAAAUUUGGUGGAAACUGGUUCAUUAUUCUGUUUCUGUCAUUGA